UCGAGAAUCUUCCGCAAUGGACGAAAGUCUGACGGAGCGACGCCGCGUGGUUGAUGAAGUCCUUCGGGACGUAAAAACCUUUUAUGAGGGAGAAAGUUUAUUGAUGUUACCUCAUGAAUAAGGGGCUCCCAAUUCUGUGCCAGCAGGAGCGGUAAUACAGAAGCCCCAAGCAUUACCCGGAAUCACUGGGCGUAAAGGGUGCGUAGGCGGCUAUGUUAGUCGGAUGUUAAAUCCCGGGGCUCAACCUCGGAAUCGCGUUCGAAACGGCAUAGCUAGGAGAAGUGAGAGGUGCAUGGAACUCAAGGUGUAGGGGUGAAAUCCGUUGAUAUCUUGGGGAACACCAAAUGCGAAGGCAAUGCACUGGCGCUCUCUCGACGCUGAGGCACGAAAGCGUGGGUAGCGAAUGGG
rnacentral:rRNA from 1 species